GAUUUCAGUGUUUGGAGUUUACAAUUUAUUAGCAUGAACAUGCGGUUUUGUCAAUUAAUCCAUGUUCUUGCUAUAAAAAGGAAAAAGUUAAAAAAAAAAAAGAAGAGAGAAUUAGAGUCUAUUAUUUUGUACAAAACAAUACCACUUGGCUUUCAAUUAAAGUCAGAAUUAUUGAUGGCAGUUAGGAUUUAUAUCAUUGUAAAAUUAAGGAGGGGUUUGAAGUAGUUCUUGGAAAAAAAUGGUUUAGAUCUGGAAUCAAAUAAUCCAGUUGAGUUUCACUUUGCAAUUAUAGGUUGUGAAUGGUACAUUGUAGGAUUUUAACAACUAAGGUUGUGAUGGUGUGUAGGUGGGAAGUGGGCUUAGAGGUAGUGCAAUGUUGGUGGUGCUGGUAGUAUGAUGGUUGGUGGUGGUUGCCUGGUGGUGAAGGAAGUUCAUGUUAUGGGUUGACAUGGUGGCAAUACAGUGGCUGGUGGUUGAUAAUGGUAAGGAUGCUUCUGUUAGUGGGGGUGCUAUUAUUGGUGGAGAUGGUGGAAUUGGCAGCUGUAGACUCUAUAGGAUGUGGGCUGGUUUAAAUUAUAGUCUAGCCCAUUAUAACUAACGAAUUGAAGGGAAAAAUUUUCAUUCUUAUAUUCUAUUGUGAGUCUGUUCAUUCUAUUUUUGCUUAUCUUCAUUGAAGAAUUUUGAAUCUAUGCCCCCAUUCUUUCUAUUUAAUUAUUCCGUUGGGCCUGCCACUAAUCAAGUAACAUCUCCAUCUACUUCUUCAACUUUAGCAUGUCCUCAUUAAGUUUGGUUCUUCUCCUUUGUAGGUGGAAUAGUUGCAUAAAAUUUUCAAGCUUUGUGGCUCUCCAUCUGAGGAUUAUUGGAGAAAAUCAAAGUUGCCUCAUGCAACCAUAUUUAAGCCCCAACAGCCUUAUAGGCCCUGUGUUGCAGAAACAUUUAAAGACUUUCCUACACCUGCAUUAGGGCUUAUGGAAACACUUCUUUCCAUAGAUCCUGCUGAUCGUGGAUCUGCAGCCUCUGCUCUUAAAAGUGAGUUCUUUACAGUAAAGCCACUUCCUUGUGAUCCUUCAAGCUUGCCUAAGUAUCCUCACAGCAAAGAGUUUGAUGCAAAA